rnacentral:lncRNA from 1 species
GUUUUGAUUAAAUCGGAAUUUUACCCCCUCUGUUUUAAACCGCGGACUUUUACCCCCUGUUUUAUAAUUUUUUGGAUUUUGCCCGCCUAAAAUUCUGCUUUCAAGUCACAACUUCAAAGCUUCGCACACAACUCAAUUUGAAUCAAUAAUUCACCAAACAGAUAUCGAAAUGACCGUAAUCGAGUUAUCUUUCCAGAGAAUCAAACCCCACUAAAUUUGGAGUUACAAAGAGAGAUUAAUUACCGUUUUAGUGAAGGUAUGUCCCCCAAAAUUCUGCACAAAAUCUGCUUUCGAGUCACAACUUCAAAGUUUCGCAUACAACUCAAUUUGAAUCAAUAAUNNNNNNNNNNNNNNNNNNNNNNNNUAAAUUUGGAGUUACAAAGAGAGAUUAAUUACCGUUUUAGUGAAGGUAUGUCCCCCAAAUAUUCUGCACAAAAUCUGCUUUCGAGUCACAACUUCAAAACUUCGCACAGAAUUCCAUUUCGAUCCAUAAUUCACCAAACAAGUACCGAAAUGACCGAAAUCGAGUUAGUUUUCCACAGAAUCAAACUCCACAAAAUUUGGAGUUACAGAGAGAGAUUAAUUAUUAUUUUAGUGAAGGUCUAUCCAAAUCAAUUAAUGUAUGGAACUACUACUGGUAUUUUUGUCAUGUCUCUCACACUGUGGCUCAUUUUUCAAUAGUAUUUACAUUUCCGGAAAGCUAACUAAAUUACCCUUGUUGUCAUUUAAAUUUCGUCAAAUUUGGAGUUACGAUGUGUUUGGUAGACGAUAUUGAAUUUAAAGGUCAUAAGUAGAUUUCUGCAAAAUUAGUAAUUAGACAGACCUUCACUAAAACUGUAAUUAAUCUCUCUUUGUAACUCCAAAUUUAGUGGGGUUUAAUCCUGUGGAAAGCUAACUCGAUUAUGGUCAUUUCGGUAUCCAUUUGGUGAAUUAUUGAUCCAAAUUGAGUUGUGUGGGAAGCUUUGAAGUUGUGCCUCGAAAGCAGAUUUUGUGCAGAAUUUUGGGGGACAUACCUUCACUAAAACGGUAAUUAAUCUCUCAUUGUAACUCCAAAUUUAGUN